rnacentral:rRNA from 1 species
AGUGAACGCUGGCGGUAGGCCUAACACAUGCAAGUCGAACGGCAGCACGGUAAGAGCUUGCUCUUACGGGUGGCGAGUGGCGGACGGGUGAGGAAUACAUCGGAAUCUACUUUUUCGUGGGGGAUAACGUAGGGAAACUUACGCUAAUACCGCAUACGACCUGCGGGUGAAAGCAGGGGAUCUUCGGACCUUGCGCGAUUGAAUGAGCCGAUGUCGGAUUAGCUAGUUGGCGGGGUAAAGGCCCACCAAGGCGACGAUCCGUAGCUGGUCUGAGAGGAUGAUCAGCCACACUGGAACUGAGACACGGACCAGACUCCUACGGGAGGCAGCAGUGGGGAAUAUUGGACAAUGGGCGCAAGACUGAACCAGCCAUACCGGGUGGGUGAAGAAGGCCUUCGGGUUGUAAAGCCCUUUUGUUGGGAAAGAAAAGCAGCAGGUUAAUACCCCGCUGUUCUGACGGUACCCAAAGAAUAAGCACCGGCUAACUUCGUG